rnacentral:rRNA from 1 species
UACGUAGGGGGCAAGCGUUGUCCGGAAUCAUUGGGCGUAAAGCGCGUGUAGGCGGCUCGGUAAGUCCGCUCUGAAAGCCCGGGGCUCAACCCCGGGAGGCGGGUGGAUACUGCUGAGCUCGAGUCCGGAAGAGGAGUGUGGAAUUCCUGGUGUAGCGGUGAAAUGCGUAGAGAUCCGGAGGAACACCAGCGGCGAAGGCGACACGCUGGGUCACACCUGACGCUAAAACGCGACAGCAUGGGGAGCAAACGGG